GUGGAUAACCUACCUAUAAGACUGGGAUAACUUCGGGAAACCGGAGCUAAUACCGGAUAAUAUAUCGAACCGCAUGGUUCAAUAGUGAAAGACGGUUUUGCUGUCACUUAUAGAUGGAUCCGCGCCGCAUUAGCUAGUUGGUAAGGUAACGGCUUACCAAGGCAACGAUGCGUAGCCGACCUGAGAGGGUGAUCGGCCACACUGGAACUGAGACACGGUCCAG
rnacentral:rRNA from 1 species